rnacentral:lncRNA from 1 species
AUUGUUUAACAACUAAGAUUGAUAAUCUAUCAACUAACAUCAAAACACAUUCAAACUCAACUAUGGAAAGUCCCUCAACUUUUAACAGUUUUGCAAAUUAACCCUUGGGCUAGCUAGAUUAAGCUAAAACGAGCUCAAAAACAUAAAAAUCAUUAAAAUCGGGGCUCAAAUACAUACCAUGGAUGAAAAAACUCAAAACCGAAGCUUUCUCCCCC